rnacentral:ncRNA from 2 species
UUCCAUCUUCGGGGCAGGGUGAAAUUCCCGACCGACGGUGAUGAACCCACUUGGUGUUCUUAGUCCGUGACCCAGGAGGCGCUACGAGAGUGUUUAACUCCAUGCCGAUCGGUGGACCUGGUGAAACUCCGGGACCGACAGUUACAGUCUGGAUGGGAGAAGAUGUAG